rnacentral:lncRNA from 1 species
GCAUUUGCUCCCUUUUUUGGGCUAUAAUGAAAGAGCUUCUUUUGACCCAAAAAGAAAACCAUGACUGCAUCAUAUUGGAAAUUUUCUUUCGACGAAGUUCCAAGAAAGAGAGAAGAGAAAGGAGAUGGCUGGACUGGAAUGGGCCAUUUUAUCCUUUCAUUCUUUUAUUAUUAUUUUUAAUAAUUGAAGUGUUACAUUCCAUUUUUAACAAUGAAUUAGAUGGUUAGACAUGAGCUUAUCCAAGUUUAUUAGAGCGGAUGUGCUUCCCACUCUGCACUCAAGUUCAAAUCCCCCUCCCUCGAAGUUUAUAGAGGUGUACAUCGGUUUGAAACCAAUGAUUUUUUAUCAAUCUAAUCCAAUAUUUUAUUGGAUUUGAGAUUUUAAAAUCCGAUCCAAUGUGUUCAAAUGUUAGGAUCCAACAUUGGAUUGGAUUGAAUUGGAUGAUUGGUUUGUAUGAAAAUAUGAUAAUAGCAAAGAUAAUAUAGAAUUCAAUCCAAUAGAAAAUAUCAUUAAGUGUGUACUAAAUAGACAUAAAUAAAUUUUAGAAAACAACACUACAACACGAAGUUCAACACAAAAAGUUAGAAAUCUAGACAUAAAUAUACAUAAAUAAAGUUUAGAAAAUAUAAACAUAAAUAAAUUUUAUAGUUC